rnacentral:rRNA from 1 species
CAGUCGCCACGGUAAUACGGAGGGUGCAAGCGUUACUCGGAAUCACUGGGCGUAAAGGACGCGUAGGCGGAUUAUCAAGUCUCUUGUGAAAUCUAACGGCUUAACCGUUAAACUGCUUGGGAAACUGAUAAUCUAGAGUAAGGGAGAGGCAGAUGGAAUUCUUGGUGUAGGGGUAAAACCCGUAGAUAUCAAGAAGAAUACCUAUUGCGAAGGCGAUCUGCUGGAACUUAACUGACGCUAAUGCGUGAAAGCGUGGGGAGCAAACAGGAUUAGAUACCCCCGUAGUCCCUGUCUCUUAUAC